GAUGAACGCUAGCGACAGGCCUAACACAUGCAAGUCGAGGGGCAUCGGGGAUAAAGCUUGCUUUAUCUGCCGGCGACCGGCGCACGGGUGAGUAACACGUAUGCAACCUGCCCGUCACUGGGGGAUAACCAUUGGAAACGAUGACUAAUACCCCAUACAGCCAUCAAGUUGCAUGGUUUGAUGGUGAAAACCUUGGUGGUGACGGAUGGGCAUGCGGUGCAUUAGCUAGUUGGCGGGGUAACGGCCCACCAAGGCUGCGAUGCAUAGGGGUUCUGAGAGGAAGGUCCCCCACACUGGUACUGAGACACGGACCAGACUCCUACGGGAGGCAGCAGUGAGGAAUAUUGGUCAAUGGGCGAGAGCCUGAACCAGCCAAGUCGCGUGAAGGAAGACGGUCCUAUGGAUUGUAAACUUCUUUAGUCGGGGAGCAAAAAGCGCCACGUGUGGUGUAUUGAGCGUACCCGAAGAAUAAGCAUCGGCUAACUCCGUGCCAGCCGCCGCCGUAAAAC
rnacentral:rRNA from 1 species